GUAGAAGUUUUUGUAUAAAAGCCACGGUCCUGAGCUCAGUAGUUUGGGUGUGUAUCUGCAGAAGGACCUGGCUUUAAUGUCUGUCAUUCUUGUAUGAUCUUCAUUAAAGUCUAUUGGAUUCACAAGUUCCUGAGAUGAAGUGUUUUUGUUUUAGUCGUUGUGGACUUGAGUUUUCCACGACACAACCAAGGAUACCAGGCCACAACCCUACCUUAUCUACGGCCCUGUUCCGUUUGGCGGCAAGGUAAAGUUGCCUGUGUCUUCUCUGUAUUCUUCCUUUUGUGAAGGACACUGGGGGUAGCUCAGAUCAGGAGGUCUGGUAACUAUGACCUGGAACUAUGGUUGCCAUGGCAGUAUAGGGUUCUAUCUUGUUUUCCUAUUAGAAUGACUAGAGAUAAUAUUGGGGUGUGCAUUAGAGAUAAUAUUUUGGGGGCUGAUAAGGAGGAGUAUAAAGAGAUGAAAGCAAUAAUAUGUAAUCAGAACAAUUGUUAUGACACUACUCUGUUGGUCUCUGUAAUUGCAGUCUGUUGUGUGAAAGCGAUUGUUCCCGUGGAUCCAUGUAAUUAAACUUAAAAUAAUCAACUGUUAUACCAGACUCUGAGAAGUUUUUACUUGUAUAAAUCACGCACAUUUUCCAAAAAUAACUCAUUCCAGCCUGGCAGUUCUGAGGGCUCAUGUCCUCCCACGUUAGAGAGCACAUUUCUUGGAUUCACAAGGGUGGCUCACUCUACUCCGCUGGCACAAUUAUAUAGCAGUGUAUAACCUUGGGUCUCAGACAGUGGGGUCCAAACACACUGUGGCCCUAUCCAAAAGGCAAAUGAUGACUGUGCCUCCAAUAAAAGAGGAAGGGGUUCUGUGAUUGCAAUUCCAUCGAUUUGAACUCUUUAGGAAGUAGGUAAAGAGACAAAUUAUUUUGGCACAAUUAGCAGUUUAUUUGCAUGUAGAGAGAUAAACACAGAUACAAGGUCAGUGGGAUCUCUGAGGUGACGAGAGAAUCAUCAAUAAUUUUACAAUUAAGGGGUGAUGGUAAGAAUCUGCAUAUUCAUCUGAUAAAGACAACCUUAUGUUCCUUAUCCCAUUUCUGUAACAGCUACCAAUCGAUUUCCAAGGAAUUCCUUGUGCAUUAUUUCCACUGUUUGGCAAUUUACAUAGGACAGGUCAUCCCACAGAACCAAGGACACAAGCUGAGUGUAAGUGGCUGACAGAAGUCUCCAAAAAAAUUCAGGGUAACAGGUAAAAAAUUAAAUGCAUUAUGGGAAAAUGCAUUGGAUCCUAUGUAAAACUGUAGGCAUGAGCAAGAGUGAUGUCAUAAAUGUUUGUGGGAUUGUAUAUGCAUGUAUCUAUUUAGAGUCUAAGGUUUGUCAAUGUUUGUUGAAAUUUAUAUUUUGGAUGUAAGUGUAAUGUUAAGUUGAUGUCCUUUGUCUUUACAAUCCUAAUCAAAUAAAGUAAACUGUCAUAAAUUUGACCUACAAGGGAGUUCAGGAUGGAAGAUGUCUUUCAAAAUUUUUAUAUAAAGACACUAAUGUUGUUUUCCAGACAACACCUGUGUAAAGGCCAGAACUAAUACAACUAUGAGCUCUGGACAGACAAGUCAGUGGUGGAGUUAUUUGGUUGUAUUUCCAGACACCAUGUUUGUCAAUAUCCCUAACAACAAACCCCAUCCCUUGUUCUAACCAAAACUUUAUUCCCAUUUUCCACAACUUCUAACCUUAAGUCCAAAAAGCCUAAUCCUAGUUCCUCACCUUAACCUCAAUUGUAACGUAUACCCCCAACAUAGAUAAUGUACUUUUUCUUCAUGGGAACCAGUGAAGGUCACAUUUUCCAUGUUGCAUUUUAUGGUUGAUAGUCAGACAAUGUUGCAACCCAUUUACAUUAGCCGAAGUGAAGAUGCCCAAGUUACUUUUUAUCACGUUCACCAAACUAAAGCUGGAAUGGCAUUUCCUGGAAAUACAAUGCUAAUAGAAAAAAAUAUGGGAUUGGUUUUCUACAGGAUCUUUUGAGAUGGCUAGCCAAUUGGAGAUUGUUUUCAGGGGUGGAGCUUGUAUGUGUGGCUGAAAUGUAUCGGUACUUAUCCGAGUGCAUCCCGGUAUCUCAUCUAUGAACGAUAAUGCUAAAGACUUCACCAUGAUAACCCCAUUAUUUAUGUUUGUUUGGUUGUCUCGAACCAGUUACAUUGAACCUGUGCAGGUUAUUCCUCCUGGAAUACCAGUCUCUGUCUAUGCUAAGAUGUUCUAUAACAUCUCACAACCAAGUGACGUCUGUGGCCAACUGGAAUAUGAUGUUCUGCAGUUCACCUGUUGUGAUGGAAAACUACACAAUGGGCCGAGGCUGUCCUGCUGCGGAAGCAAUGCCUUCAGCAUCACCCAGGCUUCUUGUUGUCAAGGUCAGCUGACUGUUAAUGUGAGCCAGCUUGUGUCAGAUUGCUGCGGGUACAAAGCCUACGACCCACUCAACUAUCUGUGCUGUAACACACGGAUACUUAAAAGGAACAAACCCUAUUCCAAGUGUUGUGGAAAAGAGGUUUUUGACAGUCACCAGCUUUGCUGUGGAGUGGAAAAGAUAGUCCUGACCAAAAUCUCCAGUAACCACAAGUGUUGUGGAAACCAACAGUAUGACAACAAAAGACAAUGCUGCAAUUAUACUGUAGUAACCACAAGGAAUCUGGAUGGACAAUGCCAUGUAUCAAAUGACACAAUGAUAACAAAACCGGCCCUGACAAAUAGACCUAACAACUGGUAAUGUUGUGUUUAGCCAUAUUGAACUGCACCAUUUCAUUAUAUGUGUAUAUGUAUAUAUGUAUGUUUAUAUCCAUUGGCUCAAGCUUAAGAAAAGUUACUAUUGAUGACCCUCUCAAAUAAUGUAGGGAACACUUAAAUCACACAUCGGGUCAAAAUAUAUUCAAGAUCAAAGUCUUUACUGUACAUUGAGUAAUACGGUGAGAACAAAAUGACAUAACAACGGUCAAUAGAAAGCAAAAUCACCAACCGAUUGAGGGCUGGAUUAAAAAAAAUAAUAAUCAAAGUAAUUCAUUGAAAUCACAGACUGUUCCAACUUUCAUCACUGCAACACACAAUGUGUUUCAGUAGUGUGUAUGGCCCCCACGUGCCUUUAUGCACUCCUGAUAACGUCUGGGCAUGCUCCUGAUGAGAUGGCAGGUGGUGUCCUGGGGGAUCUCCUCCCAGACCUGGAUCAGGGCAUCAGUGACCUCCUGGACAGUCUGUGGUGCUACUUGGCGUCAUUGGAUGCACUGAUACAAAACGUCCCAGUGGUUCUCAGUUGGAUUCAGUUCUGGGGAAUGUGAGGGCCAGUCAAUGGAAUCAAUGCCUUCGUCAUCCAGGAACUGCCUACACAUUCUAGGCCACAUUCUUGCACAAAGGAGCAGAUACCGGUCCUGCUGCUGGGUUGAUGCCCUUCUAUGGCCCUGUCCAGCACUCCUCGUGUAAAGGCCUGUCUCCUCGUACCCACUCCAUACUCUUGAGACUGUACUAGGAGACACAGCAAACCUUCUUGCAACAGCAUGUAUGGAGCUGGAUGACCUGUACAACCUGAAUGGGCAGCAGGUACCGCCUCAUGCUACCAAUAGUUACAGGGAUCAGUCAGGAAGGAUAAGGAGAGCAAUUGUCUGUGGCCUCCACCUGCAAAACCAUUUCCUUUUUGGGGGUUGUCUUGCUGUUACCUCACCAGUGCACCUGUUGUCACUUUCAUUUGCACUAAAACAGGUGACAUUGUUUCAUAAUCACUUAUGCUUCCUAACUGGACAGACAGAUAACCCUGAUGUUUAAUUGACUUGGUGUUACACUGUGAUGAUUACGUGUUCCCUUAAUAUUUUGAGCAGCG
ensembl:lncRNA